GUCGACGGCAGCACGGGUGCUUGCACCUGGUGGCGAGUGGCGAACGGGUGAGUAAUACAUCGGAACAUGUCCUGUAGUGGGGGAUAGCCCGGCGAAAGCCGGAUUAAUACCGCAUACGAUCUACGGAUGAAAGCGGGGGACCUUCGGGCCUCGCGCUAUAGGGUUGGCCGAUGGCUGAUUAGCUAGUUGGUGGGGUAAAGGCCUACCAAGGCGACGAUCAGUAGCUGGUCUGAGAGGACGACCAGCCACACUGGGACUGAGACACGGCCCAGACUCCUACGGGAGGCAGCAGUGGGGAAUUUUGGACAAUGGGCGAAAGCCUGAUCCAGCAAUGCCGCGUGUGUGAAGAAGGCCUUCGGGUUGUAAAGCACUUUUGUCCGGAAAGAAAUCCUUGGCUCUAAUACAGYCGGGGGAUGACGGUAY
rnacentral:rRNA from 1 species